rnacentral:tRNA from 1 species
GAGGGUAUAGCUCAGUGGUAGAGUGUGUGUUUAGCAUGCACAAGGUCUUGGGUUCAAUCCCUACUACCUCCA